rnacentral:sRNA from 1 species
GAAUCUGUGUUAAAAUUUAUAUAUUUUUGAUUUUACAAGAUAAGGUUGUAGGCAAUGUUUUUCAUUUUUUCAAACUUAUUCAGGUCUUGCUACAUUUCAUUGUCAUUUUUAAUACGAAUUCACUUCACUGUGUUUAACUUCAACAUACAUCUUUAUACAAAGUCUACUAUCUUGAACUUUUACUUUCCUUCUUAUCCUUAUUGUAUCAGACCAGUGGUACGAGUUUUGAGUAAAAUCUUCAAUGAAUUCUGACCUAUUCUUUGGAAGUUUUACUCCUGACUUUGAACAAAACGAACCAUAUCUAUUUAUAUUUAGGGGCUUGACCACUACAGAAAUUUUAGUUUGAGUUUUGUACCUUUUAAGUACAGUCUUGGAAAUUUGGCUUUACUCAUGUUUCUUAUUUGUAUUUCACUGGUGACCUUUGAAUAUUUGACCUGACCUUGACCUUGACUUAUUUGAUUCUCACCUUAUCCUGCUGAAUUUGCCCUUUUAAUUUAUUUUUAGCAUAUUCAUUUUUUACUUGUGAUGUGUUUACAAUAUACCUGUCCAUUUCAUGGUUAAUAUGUGAACUGUAAUAUUUUUAUGCAACUUAUGUAAAAACGAAAACCUAAUGUUUAUUAUUUUUUUAAAAAGGAUUGGCAUAUUUACCACUGAAAACUUUUAUAGCUCGGACUUUAAACUUAAUGUGAAGUUUGAUAUUGAACUGAUUUUAAAUGCCAUUAGGACUUUAAACUUAUGUGAAGUUUGAUAUUGAACUGAUUUUAAAUGCCAUUAGGAUAUCGCUAAACAUCUUUAUAUUAUUGGUUGUUUUAUUUUACAUGUUUUUUUUUUUAUAAAGCAAUGAUACUCUGUGUAUCCUCUUGGUGUUUUCUUGACAUACUGCUUAUCUUGGAUGGUUGUGUACUUAGUCUAUAUAUACAGUCGUCUGGUUUUACACGUAGGUCCGUAUUUUAUUAUAUUUAGUAAUCACGUGAUGCAUGAUGUCACUGGCAUCGCUUUUGGUUGUGUUUGAUUUAUCGUAGACUUUUUUUUUGACCCUGAACAAAACAUCUUUCAUAAUAAAAUUUAUGUAAU